AAGGUUUCGUCGAGCUGAAGCCAAGAAAGCCUGGAUGUGUCCAACCUGCUUCGUAGUACAGCCCUCUGAACACCUGAUACACCUGGACACAACUGAACAUCUGAGGCUAAUGUUUAGCAGCACAAACAGUUUUAGCAGAAAAAGAAGAAGAACAGAAAGGAUCGUGCUCCAGCAGCUUCACCGCUUGGACUCCUACUAACACAUGCUGUUUAAAGUCCUACCUGAGCUCCACAGCAGCAGCAGCACCAACAGGUGAUCCAUGUCCAGGUAGACCGUCUCUCUGGCCGUCCGCCUGCUCUCUGCUCUGAUCAUCAUGUGCUGUCCUCAGUGUAUAUCUGCGUACAGGAAGAGGUGGAGCUUUACUGGAACACAGCUCAUUCAGCUGUCUUUAGUUUCACAGUCAAGAGUCCUCGUCUGAGUCUCUGACACAGGGUGACUCAGGGUUUUCUGUCGCCCAUGUUUCCAGUUUGACCAGUGGAUCAGACAGUGGUCACACUGGUGUCCAGUCUGAGUCCAGUUCUCCCUUUGGACUGUGUGUUUGGUUUCUUUUCUGCACAGCAGAAGUGUUUAACUCCAGCAGGACAAAGAAUGAAUGUGGAGAUUGUCCUGAGCUGACGUUAGAGUGCCAGUCCGAAGUCUUCUCCCAGUCCGGCUCUGACUGGUUUCCAGUUGGACAGGAAACUGUCUCUCAGUGCAGGUGUGAUCUUUGACUCCUGUCCUUCAUUUAACCCAGAUUCAUCACUCAGGUCCCUAAAAGCUCUUUGUACAGAUUGUGAAGAACAAGCAGCCUCGUCUUUUCUGUCCGCUUUGUACGACACCUUCUGCUCUACAUGGAUCUGAUGCCGUCGCAGGAUUUGAACCAAAAUUUAUUGAAAUGAUGCUUCACGUCAAACUGACGACUUCGUGUCAGUUAAACUUCAACAUGUUGCUGUAAAAGGUCUCUGUUGUUGGUCCAGUUCUUGGUUGUCUCUCCGUUUGGAGACCCUGGGCCUGUUUUCUGGGGAUUAUUGCAUCUGGAUUCAUCCGGACUUCAUUCCUGCCGGCCUCUUCCUCUCAACAUGUUUGUGUUUCGGACUCCGCUCCAGGUUUUCCUCUCGCCUGCCUGCCUCAUCAUCAUUGGAAGUUCCUCUCUGACGGCAGCACCCGGGGCUUCAAACUGGUUUAGAACUGGU